rnacentral:lncRNA from 1 species
GCCUGAGCCUCCCCUCCUGUGGGCUCCUGUGCGGCCCAAGCCUCCUCGACGAGCACUGCCUCCUGCUCCACGCACCCAGUCCCAUCGACCACCCAAGGGCUGAGGAGUGCAGGCACACGGCACGGGACUGGCAGGCAGCUCCACCUGCAGCCCUGGUGCGGGAUCCACUGGGUGAAGCCAGCUAGGCUCCUGAGUCUGGUGGGGACUUGGAGAACCUUUAUGUCUAGGCUAGGGGAUUGUAAAUACACCAAUUGGCACUCUGUAUCUGGCUCAGGGUUUGUGAAUGCACCAAUCGACACUCUGUAUCUAGCUACUCUGGUGGAGACUUGGAGAACCUUUAUGUCUAGCUAAGGGAUUGUAAAUACACCAAUCAUCACUCUGUAUCUAGCUCAAGGUUUGUAAACACACCAGUCAGCACCCUGUGUCUAGCUCAGGGUUUGUGAAUGCACCAAUUGACACUUUGUAUCUAGCUACUCUGGUGGGGACUUGGAGAACCUUUGUGUGGACACUCUGUAUCUAGCUAAUCUAGUGGGGACAUGGAGAACUUUUUUGUCUAGCUCAGGGAUUGUAAACGCACCAAUCAGCACCCUGUCAAAAACGGACCAAUCAGCUCUCUGUAAAAUGGACCAAUCGGCUCUCUGUAAAAUGGACCAAUCGGCUCUCUGUAAAAUGGACCAAUCAGCAGGAUAUGGGUGGGGCCAGAUAAGAGAAUAAAAGCAGGCUGCUGGAGCCAACAGUGGCAACCCGCUGAGAUCACCUUCCACAUUGUGGAAGAUUUGUUGUUGUACGGUUUUCAGGUUGUACAGAUCUUACUGCUGUCUCUCUUUGGGUCCACAUUGCCUUUAUGAGCUGUAACACUCAUCUGGAAGGUCUGCGUCUUCACUCUUGAAGCCAGUGAGGCCAUGAACUCACCAGGAGGAAUGAAUAACUCCACACGCGCCCCCUUAAGAGCUGUAACACUCACCGCGAAGGUCCGCAGCUUCAGUCCUCAGCCAGCGAAACCACAAACCCACCAGAAGGAAGAAACUCCAAACACAUCCAAACAGCAGAAGGCAGCAGAAGGAACGAACUCCGCACACACUGUUUUUAAGAACUGUGACACUCACCGCGAGGGUGCACAGCUUCAUUCUUUAAGUCAGUGAGACCAAGAACCCACCAAUUCCGCACCCACCAGCACUUUGGGAGGUCGAGGCCAGCGGAUUGUCUGAGCUGAAGAGUUCGAGAUCAAUCUGGGUACUUUAUAGGUUUCUUUGCCCGUACAGAUUUUGCCCGAGGAGCCACAGCUGAG